rnacentral:rRNA from 1 species
GGAUUAGAUACCCUGGUAGUCCACGCCGUAAACGAUGUCAACUAGCUGUUGGGGCGAAAGAGUCUUAGUGGCGAAGCUAACGCGAUAAGUUGACCGCCUGGGGAGUACGGUCGCAAGAUUAAAACUCAAAUGAAUUGACGGGGGCCCGCACAAGCGGUGGAGCAUGUGGUUUAAUUCGAUGCAACGCGAAGAACCUUACCUACCCUUGACAUCCUCAGAACUUGUUAGAGAUAACUUGGUGCCUUCGGGAACUGAGUGACAGGUGCUGCAUGGCUGUCGUCAGCUCGUGCUG